CCCUAUGGAUCAGAUGGUAAAGAAUCUGCCUGCAAUGCAGAAGACCCAAGUUUGAUUCUUGGGUUAGGAA
rnacentral:tRNA from 1 species